UAUGACUCUUUACCAACAGAUUCCUGUAACUGUGGACCAGCAGAAGGAGUGUGAGGAGGUAAUCAGCAGAUCAUAUUGAUUGAAAGGGCAUGUACGUCUGUCUUUGUGAUAGUAAAACUGUUAGUUCCAAUUUGGGAAGUGUCUGAAUUUUGCCCAAGGAUACCAGAUCUUCUGGAAGGAGGCGCGAGUCUUGGGGACCCAACACAUCUUUGUCUGACUCCAAUUGAGUGGGUGCCACAAUCUUAUCAGCGCCUCUGUAGAAAAGAGAUGGAUUGGAUCUUGCGGUUUAUCUCCCUGACACCGCAGGGUCUGAAUGAAUCCCUGGAAUAUACUAGUUAUUAAUCCAGUUAUUUCACAUUAAAUCCCAGUGACCGAGAUACGAUCAAAGAAAUUAGGAGUCAUUAUACAGAAACAUUACCCAGACCCAGAAGACGGAUGAGAGGAAGUAGGGGGUGUCAGAGCUAGCUGAGAUCCUGACCCUGAUAAAAUAACUGCUUCUACAAAGCUUCUGAAGAUCACAGGAGCCUCCUGCCUUUCUGUUCCUUAGGUUCAGGUCUCUCUUCUUUUUAGAGCCAAUGGUCCUUUCCAUCAAGGACCCACCAAGGAUGGAGAAGGACAGAGACCACAUGGCUGCGAGGAUAUUAGACCUCACCCUGGAGAUCAUCUCCUUGAUAACUGGAGAGGAUUACACAGUAGUGAAGAAGUCGUCUGGUGAGUGUGUGACACCCCGUGUGUCAGGAGGAU